AUUGAACGCUGGCGGCAGGCCUAACACAUGCAAGUCGAGCGCGAGGCGGACGGGUGAGUAUUGUCUGGGAAACUGUCUGUUGGAGGGGGAUAACUACUGUAACCGGUUGCUAAUACCGCAUACCCUCAGAUGUGCCCCGAUGGGAUUAGCUCGUAGGUGGGGUAAUGGCUCACCUAGGCGACGAUCCCUAGCUGGUCUGAGAGGAUGACCAGCCACACUGGAACUGAGACACGGUCCAGACUCCUACGGGAGGAAGCAGUGGGGAAUAUUGCACAAUGGGCGCAAGCCUGAUGCAGCCAUGCCGCGUGUAUGAAGAAGGCCUGCGGGUUGUAAAGUACUUUCAGCGAGGAGGCGUUACUCGCAGAAGAAGCACCGGCUAACUCCGUGCCAGCAGCCGCGGUAAUUC
rnacentral:rRNA from 1 species